UGGGCUAUGGUGUAAUGGUAACACAACAGAUUCUGGUCCUGUUUUUCUUGGUUCGAGUCCGAGUAGCCCAACCU
rnacentral:tRNA from 2 species